rnacentral:rRNA from 1 species
GAUGAACGCUAGCUAUAGGCUUAACACAUGCAAGUCGAGGGACCGGCGCACGGGUGAGUAACGCGUAUCCAACCUGCCCAUAACUAAGGGAUAACCCAGCGAAAGUUGGACUAAUACCUUAUGGUUAUGGAUGGGGAUGCGUUCCAUUAGGUUGUUGGUGAGGUAACGGCUCACCAAGCCUUCGAUGGAUAGGGUUUCUGAGAGGAAGGACCCCCACAUUGGAACUGAGACACGAUCCAAACUCGUACGAGAGGCAGGAGUUAUGAAGAUUGGGCAAUGGGCGGUAGCCUGAACCAGCCAGGUAGCGUGAAGGAUGAAGGCUUAUAGGGCGUAAACUUCUUGGAUAUAAGAAUAUGUAUUAUAUGAAUAAGGAACGGCUAACUCCGUGCCAGCCGCCGCGGUAAUAC